rnacentral:rRNA from 1 species
CUCAAAGAUUAAGCCAUGCAAGUGGUUAUAUUAACCCGACAGUUUAAAUAAGUGUUAAAUGCUACAUUAAACUUACUCCAUCACGCACAACACAUGAUUUUGUUUACAGUAGUAACAAUUUCAGCGUGAGUCACCUCAGCAGUGAAUCACUGAAAUUUACCCAAUAUCAGUAUCACUUACGCAACUGCAGACAGCUGCUUAAUACAGUCACACUUGUCUUGACUUGGCGUCAAUAAAAAAUUUCAUUCGACACCUGUUCGCGCAGGCAGACGGUGGAUUUUUUUAUUUUGUUGCAUCACGCAUACAAAAUUUUUUUGAUUUCUCUGUAUCGCUUAUUCUCAAAGGACAUGCGUUACACCGUGACAAUUUUCUUUUAUGGAUAACUCAGGGAAAGUUUGGCUAAUACGUACGAGUAAUCUACCUCACACACACACACACUCACGCACACAAUUCAAAAAUUAUUUUGUUUUGCCGUGURUCGACUAUACAUUUCACUACUCAGCACUCAAUGGUAAAACUUUGGCCGCGUUCGCGCAGUCAGUUUAAAGUUUAACUGCAACAUGAGAGACAUUGAGCACGCACGUGUCGUUCCUUUGGGAACUUCACAUCGCGCUGAGCAGACUUUGCGAAGUUUACUUUGCGAAGCAUGUCAUACAAGCAUCUACAGCAUCAAGUCACAGGGUUGGCAAGUGUAUUUUGAACCUUCAAAGCAGUCACGCAUACGGAAGAGUAGUUUCUGAUCCCAUAGAAGGAGCACCGUACAAUGAGAGACCGCUCUUAGUUCUAAGGAACGCAGCAGGCGCGUAAAUUGCCCAAUGCUAGUACCCUACAAUCAAAUUGUAUUUACAUGCGUUAACAAUUUACAACAUAACAAGUUUAUCACACACACAUAUAACACUAUAUUUUUUCUGUUACCCAUACAGAAUUUUCUAUUCUGGACAUCCUUGUUCGUUGUUUUAUUCAGCAUAAAUAAUAUAUCUCCAAUUUUAUUAUUUUACUGAGGCAGUGACAAGCUGUAACGGUUGAGUAUAAAAAUGACGAGUGUCUGGCAUUGCCGCUCUUUCGGGAGCUUGGCAAGUUGCCGACGCUUYGUGUGCUCAAUUGGAAUGCGGUGAGUUUAAGCAACUCAGAACCUUUGGACGGUGUUAGUAAAAUUUCACUGUUCGUGUAUCUGAAUUUCAAGUGGAGGGCAAGUCUGGUGCNNNNNNNNGCGGUAAUACCAGCUCCACUGGCCUAUACAAUCAUUGUUGCGGUUAAGAGGCUCGUAGUUGGAUUGAACUGCAAAUAUGAAUGAAUUCUCAUCAUUCAGUUUGAAAGUUUUACGCGUUGGAAUCAAAUUUAUUUGAUUUCUCAGCGCGUUCGACGCUGUUAAAAUUUUUACAAUUUACACUGUAUUAAUUUUUUUUACCAACGGCACAAAUUUUUUCUGCCGCAUAUAUUUUUACUCACACACACUCAUAACCCACACAAUAUAUGCAUCACACGCGGGAAAUCUUUGGAACUCAUUCACUCAUAGAAUUUAUUCUCCUUUCAACACUGUGAACAAAUCAGAGUGUAUCAAACAUGUCGUUUUUGAAUGUGCAUUGAAUGUCUUAUCAUGGGAUGUUGCACUUUCGCCUUAAAAAAAUUUUACUGCAUUACGUGCCGUACAUAUUUUUUUAUACACACACACGCAUACGCACAUGUUUACAUAGCCACGUAAAAAUUUUUAUCAACGGUAAUUUUUUUUUAACGGUUAAAAAUGUCGAUGGGGAUAGUUGGAGUCAACAGUACUGCUGGGCGAGAGGUGAAAUUCAUUGACCCUAGCAAGACUACCAAAAGCGAAAGCAGUUGGCUAGGCUAUACUCUUUGUGAUUAUAAUGUAUUCGCGCUAUUUCUUCACACACACACGCAAAAAGUUUUAGCGCACACAGUACAUAUUAUAUACACUUUACAAUGAAGAACGAAGGUUGGGGGAUCAAAGAGGAUCAGAUACCCUCGUCGUCCCAUUAAUUACAUCAAACGAUGGGCUCUCAAUUGCAUUUUUCAUUAAAUUGCAAAUUUCCUCAGCUUACAAAAUAACUUGGCUUGAGCUCGUAUUUUUAUACGCUCGCCUAAUUUUUUUCGUAUAGUCUCGAUGGACGUUUCAUUUAUUAUUUUUUGCGUGUAAGCAUUUGUUAUUCUUUGAAACAUAAGAAUGCAUUGCGUGCACUUGAUUUUCGGAGCUUUGCGCUCAAUUCUGGUGAGAUGUAAGCAUUGUGUCAUACUGCCCGCAGCGUAUAGUCUCGGCUAUUUCGUCUGUCGUGUGUAGUUGACAAUCUUGAUGUGAAGCACGCUUUAGGCACGCGCUUACUGCAGAAAUGUCUGAGACAUUCCCCUCCGGGGGUAGUAUGCACGCAAGUGUGAAACUUGAAGGAAUUGACGGAAGGGCACCACAAGAACGCGUGGAGCAUGUGGCUUAAUUUGACUCAACGCGGGAAAUCUUACCGGGUCCGGACACACUGAGGAUUGACAGGCAAUAUUAAUACGUGUUUCGGCGCGUAUUAUGUUAAAUAUGCUAGUCCUUUCAUGAUUAUGUGAUAGGUGGUGCAUGGCCGUUCUUAGUUCGUGGAGUGAUCUGUCUGCUUAAUUGCGUUUCACUAAGAAUCUAUCAAUACGUGCGUUGCGGCACUUUGACCCCUCUCUGAGCGCGCGUCUUAGUUGCUUAGCUCGCACAAUUAGGUUCUGAAAGCAACGAACGUGACCGCAACCUCUUGUUGCCUUUAUACCAAACAUUUUUGCUGUUCUCAGCAUUAAUGCAAAAAGGCUUUUUAAACUAGAGGGACCGCUGUUACUUUCUUAAACCAGAGGAAGGUUGCGGCAAUAACAGGUCUGUGAUGCCCUUAGAUGUUCCGGGCUGCACACGUGCUACAAUGAUUGUUGCAGUGAGCAUCUCAUUUUUACACACCGCAUGCGCGAGUCCGUUUAUUCACUUCGGUGUUUUAAACGUGUAUUUCUGCGCGCGGUAAAGCCUGCUUCGAGAGUAAGUGGGUAAUCAAUUAGAAGUAACGAUUUCCUUUAGCACACAUAUAUACGGCGUCUAUGCCCGGGUUGCCUUGUUGUAACUUCUGUGCGUAUAGAUGUUUUUUCCGUAUGUGCGAUUGUCAAUUCAUGGUGGGGACAGACCAUUGUUAAUUGUUGGUCUCGGUCUUAACUGGGAAUGCCUUGUACGGGUCUUUGGUUCAACAAACCACCCGGAAUACGUCCCUGCCCUUUGUACACACCGCCCGUCGCUCUUACCGAUGGACUUCUCUGUGAGUUUGAGGGACUGGGGAUCGCGGACGAUUUAUCUGCACAACCUAUGGAAACUUAAACGAACAGUGUGGUCUAAAGGAAAGAGAAGUCGAACAAGGCA